GUAGAUGAAAUGAAACCAUAUUUCAAUAUUUAGACGUUUGAAGCAUAAAUAAAAACCAACCAAUAAGACAAGUAAUUUUUUUCAAUCAAUUAUAAAAUAUGGAAAACAAAUAAAGGUUAGAAUUUUUAUAUGAUGAAUCCAUAUUCUAAUGAUGUCAUCAGUUAAACGAAAAGGCAAUAUUCAUUUUUGUAUUCGUGCCGACCCCAUUUUUUUUUUCAUUUCACAAAAGACACACUUUAUGUGAUUUACAAAACACGGAUUCAAAUUUAAAAUCAUCCUAAAAAUUCAUCCUCUCAUAUUGAAGCGCUCGGUUCUAUUAAAAAGUCAGGGAGUUGUCUGUUCCUAGCCCGUGUGACCAUGUGUUUCUGUCGAGCGUCACUACAGUAAUUCACGAAAUGUAUGGAUGAUAUCAGCGGGCAGACAGAGUUAGCAGAUGUGUUCUUCAGGGGCCCAGUGCCGGGGUGACAGGGGAGCGGAGGUGCACUCAAGAGAAGUUUCCUUCAUUUGCAUGUGACACACUUCACUAGUCUGCUAUUCAGACAGUACAAUCAUUUUAAUAACUGCCUGUCUUGUGCUGCCCGCUCCCCUCCUACUUCUCUUUCUUCUGACAGCACACACGACGCACACACUUGAGGCACUUCUGCUUCUAUCGAUCAAAAAAAAGUCUUUUGUGCAGGUGUGUUUUCAAGUUUUAAAUAGACGGAAAACUGAAAUUAUUUUUUGGGAAGUGUUGCGUUUUUGUUUUUCUUUUUUAAAAUGUCAGAUUUUUGCCAGAGUAAUUUAUAGGAUUAUUAACUUCCUUUUUGUGACUUGCUGUACAUUACCAAAGGAGAGUGCUCUUUAAAAUAGGAAUCAAAAUGAAAGAAAUGGUCAAAUUGAUCCAUCAAGUCACAAUGAGUAAAUUGCCAUCGACCAGGUAUUUUUCAGGACACACUUCAUCAGCUUCGAAAGUAAAAAAGCAGAACGUGAGGUGCUCAUUUUUCAUUGAAAAGAAUUUUAAAACUUUGAACAUUCUAUAAAUAAUUCAAGUAAUCCUACAAAAAGUACAAUUGUGCACCGGUGUCUUCAACUUACAGCAUUUCAACAGCCUAAUGAGAAAGUGAAACAAGUUAAGACGUGCGGGAAGCCAUCAUAUAUGGAUCAUCUUUCAGAGUCACGGGAAGCCGUACUGCUAGAUUCUAAAAUUCGCACCUUUAUAAUGUCCAAAAAGUUGCAAAGAUAAGUUUUGAACCGAACGCUCUGCGGUGGUACGGCACACCCAUUGCAACAGGUGUUACAACAGAAGGAGAAAAACAGAUGAAGAUGUCCGAAAAAGCAAUCAAAUUUGUGAAAGAUGAAUGAAAAUACAAUUUCGCUUAUUUUAUUUACAUUUUUUUAAUGAGACAUUUUGAAAACAUGGAUCCAUAUUUUUUCCCUAAAAGAAAAAGCCAUGUGGAAAAUGGGAAAUGCCCCCAAACAUUCCUCUAAUGUCAAUGGCUCUUGUGUAAGAAAAGUGUGUCACAAAAAAACGUUUGUAAUUUGCAGCUUUUAGUAAAAUAUCGCACGCCAGUGCAAUGUGGCGGCAGAGAAAAGCCCGCGGAUGAGACGGGAUGAAGACAAAGCACCUGCAACCAAACUCCGCAGGAGGUUUUUCCAGCAGGUACGCGCCCUCCCCAAAAAACCCUUUAAAAGGAUCUGACCGUGCCCGUCUCAAGCUCUUGCCCCCGUGUCUUAGAGCCGCCAAGACUCUCACUGAGCUAAAGGCCCGGCGUGUGGCGGGGCGUCUUGGCACUUGCUUUGUGCCGUGCCAAUAAAAGCUGACACCCAGUAGACCAUUACUGGCAGCCAUGCAUGAGAUGGGAUGAGGCGCGCGCGAGAAGAGUGGACCAUUCAUUGUUUAUUUAUUUCAUUCUCACCGAGGAUGCUGAUGUAGGAGGGAGGGGAGCGAGCGGAGGGGCACCCCUCACUCGUAUAUUGGACGGCUCCCCUUUUGUCACCUAUGGCACACCGAGGCAGCCCAUGAAAUUAACACAACUUGGUUUCUUAUCCGCCUCAUGAUUCCUGAUGCCUCUCCAAUCUUCUUAAUUUUUUUUCUUUCCUCUUCUGUAGCAAGUCUCCUUCGUGGCAAAGGGCCUUUUUCAACAUCAAGUGUGCAUAUAUCGGGACAUGUAUCAAAGGCUAUUUAAGCAUUUAUUCAACAUAUCCAGUUUCCCCUCCCGAAUGACCCGAACUGACUCGUAGCCGAAUGUCAGUUACUUACAAGUAACUCUAUAUAAUAUGUCUGCAUAUUAAUAGGACUACUCAUGAGGUUAACUCAUCGUUAGAGGUUCGAAGUUAAAUGUAGAAAAACUGUGCGGGAGUUGGCAUCUAUGCGCUGUAUGUUCACUGGUACAAUUUCAUGAUGUCAUGAGCAGUAGACUAGCACACAUUUGCCAACGAGCACACAGCUUUGAGUAACUGGUAACAUAGCUGUCCAUGUGUGACAAAGUCGUCCGAGAGUGUGCAGAAAUGUCGUAUAGUAAUUGGACAUCCGUUGGACAAAAAAAACACACCUGGUGAAACACAAUCACUCUACUAGUGCACUGAACUGUGCAACUAGUGUGGACAUAAAGCGCACUUGUACAUGGAUCUUAAGAUCGAUAUAAACUAUGUUAAUUACAUUUUAAAUUGGCUUUUCCAAUUUGCGAUAAGAUGCAAGGUUAUUUUUUUAAUUAUUUUUCUUUUGAUGGCGGCGCGGGCACCCACAGCAGCUCCUCUUGUUGUAUGUUGUGAAAGAGAAGAAAUUUCAUCUGUGCUUUGACAAUAAAGUUGUACUUGACUUG